AACGAACGCUGGCGGCAGGCUUAACACAUGCAAGUCGAGCGAGACCUUCGGGUCUAGCGGCGGACGGGUGAGUAACGCGUGGGAACGUGCCCUUCUCUACGGAAUAGCCCCGGGAAACUGGGAGUAAUACCGUAUACGCCCUUUGGGGGAAAGAUUUAUCGGAGAAGGAUCGGCCCGCGUUGGAUUAGGUAGUUGGUGGGGUAAUGGCCCACCAAGCCGGCGAUCCAUAGCUGGUUUGAGAGGAUGAUCAGCCACACUGGGACUGAGACACGGCCCAGACUCCUACGGGAGGCAGCAGUGGGGAAUCUUAGACAAUGGGGGCAACCCUGAUCUAGCCAUGCCGCGUGAGUGAUGAAGGCCUUAGGGUUGUAAAGCUCUUUCAGCUGGGAAGAUAAUGACGGUACCAGCAGAAGAAGCCCCGGCUAACUCCGUG
rnacentral:rRNA from 1 species